ACAGUGCUACUGGCCCAUAAUCAGGCAACUGCAGAGUCUUAGGGGGUUAUCUAAUGUAGUCUUGGGGUGGCUGGAUAGACUUCCCAAAGAAGGUGAUGCCGAAGCUGAGGUCGGAAAUUACGAAGAUCAGCUAUUGUUCUACAUGAGGCAGAAACAGCCCUCAGUGGGAGACAGAAGACUCAAGAUCUAGAUGUUGUCCUGACAAACAAGGGCUGAAGUUUCCAAGAAACCUAGAUUGGUAUGAACCAGAUAUAUGAACUGAGGAUCGGAAAGGCAAAGGGACUAUCUUAAGGGUCUUGCUCUGUCCACCAGGCUGGAGUGCGGUGAUACAAUCAUGGCUUACUGCAAUCUCUGUCUCCUGGGUUCAAGCAAUUCUCGUGCCUCAGCCUCCCAAGUAGCUAGAGUUACAGGAAGGCCUGAGGAGAGAAGACACAUAGUCAUGCUGACUAAACCAGAUCACCUAGAAUUACCAAAUGGAAAGAUUGUGCCUGCAGCCUGGCCUGUUGCCCACAGCGGUCUACCUGCCACACUGGGAAAGAUCGAGCAGAGACAGAGAAGAAAAGGAGGCUCCAUUUUUCAGGCUGCUCUCCCGCAGGCUCAUGUUUUGUGUUCAUGCCAGGCAGAGAACACAAAAUGUUCCAAUAAAUAAGUAUCAAAGGUUAGUGGUGAAAAUGAAGGAGGAGGAGGCAUUGCGUGAAAAACUAAACAUGCAAAAUAUUACACACAAAGAGAACCAAAAUGCAGGUUCACUGGAAAUGAUAGACAAUAUGUUAAAACAAGAGGAGAGAAGAGAGCUGAAAUAAUCAAAUGGAAACACACAAUUUAGGGCUAAGAUCUUGUUGUGUUCAGCCACAAAUGAUGGCCAGCAGUGAGGAAUCUGUGUGUUCUCCACACUCUUCGCUCCUGGGAAGUCAACUCACAUGGACCAUGAUAUCAAUAUCUGCUCCUUCCCCUAAUAUCUGUUUGACCUUGGGUCAGUUACUUAAACUUCCUAAGCCUUAGUUUCUUUGUCUGGAAAAUAGGGAUAGUUAUACCUACCACACAACCACUUUGUAAUGAAUAUGUUGGAAAUUAUAUGCAAAUUGGCUUCCGUUGGUGUUUGGAACAUAGUAGGUUUUUAACUGGAAUAUAAUAGCUACCAUUAUCAGUAUCAUCAUAUUAAUUUAUAUUUCCAUCUUCAGCCCUUAACCCAGGAUCUUCAGUAAAUGUUGAAUUCUCAAAUUUGUUAAAUUCACUUGUCUAUACUAAUAUUUUACUCUAGGUUUCUUAGAAUAUUCUAGAUAAUAUUAUUAUGUAGAAUAUGUUAUGUAAGCUUCAUCUUAUCUGUAAAUAUAGUUUUACUUUUUCCUUUCUAAUUUUUAUGUCGAUUACUUCUUUUUCUUGGCUUAUUGAAUUGGCUAGGAUUCCCGUACAGUGUUGAAUACGUGCAGCAAGACUGCACAUCUUGCCUUGUUCCUGGUCCCACAGAGAGAAUAUCCAGUACUUCACAAUAAGUAUGUGUUAAUUGUAGAUUUUAUUAGAUUGAGGAAGUUCCCUUUCCUUUCAAGUCAGUCUUUUUAUUUUAAACAUGUAUUGAAGUUUUGUCAAAUGUCUUCAUCUAUUGGAAUAAUUAUACAUAUCUCUUUUUUAUUCUGUUAAUAUUACAUUUCAAUCUUCUGUCUACCUAAAAUCCCUAGAAUAAUCUCCAUUUGGCUAUGAUGUGUUGUGCUUUUAUAUAUUACUGAAUUCUAUAUGCCAAUAUUAUUAAAAUUUUCUGUCUUUAU
ensembl:lncRNA CCDC26 CCDC26 long non-coding RNA